CGGCCCUUUCCGCCGUCUCGCAAACGGGCGCUGGCUUCAGGAGAGGAUAUCCCACGGCCGUAAAUGCAGGCACACCAUAGCGCUUGCUAUCGCGGCGUUAUCGCCGGCGGUGCUGCCGUGAUGCGGUCUUCGCAUGGACCGCGCAAUGAAAGGACGAUACGUGUGUAUCGUGCUGAUUGUUUCUGCCGCCUUGUUGCUUCACGCCGACAGCAAUCGGAGCCACUCCGGUAACGCCGUCAGCAUGAGGCUCAACGCGCAGGGCAAGUAAGCCAGGAUGCCGCCCCUCGGGGCGGCCUUCCU
rnacentral:sRNA from 1 species